GACGAACGCUGGCGGCGUGCUUAACACAUGCAAGUCGAACGGAAAGGCCCUGCUUGCAGGGUACUCGAGUGGCGAACGGGUGAGUAACACGUGGGUGAUCUGCCCUGCACUUCGGGAUAAGCUUGGGAAACUGGGUCUAAUACCGGAUAGGAACCAUCUUUAGUGUGGUGGUUGGAAAGUUUUUUCGGUGUAGGAUGAGCUCGCGGCCUAUCAGCUUGUUGGUGGGGUAAUGGCCUACCAAGGCGGCGACGGGUAGCCGGCCUGAGAGGGUGUACGGCCACAUUGGGACUGAGAUACGGCCCAGACUCCUACGGGAGGCAGCAGUGGGGAAUAUUGCACAAUGGGCGCAAGCCUGAUGCAGCGACGCCGCGUGGGGGAUGAAGGCCUUCGGGUUGUAAACUCCUUUCGCUAGGGACGAAGCGUUGUUGUGACGGUACCUAGAUAAGAAGCACCGGCUAACUACGUG
rnacentral:rRNA from 1 species